GCGCGAGCAAGGGAGGAUCAGAGAGAGAGGGAGACACAGAAUCUGAGCUGUCAGCACAGAGCCGGACGCGGGGCUUGAACCUAUGAACAGUGAAAUCAUGACCUGCAUCAAAGUCAAGAGUCAGACACUUAACCAACUGAGCCACCCAGGUGCCCCCAGGCUGAUAGAGAUUCUAUGUUAAUAGACCUCUAUUUUGCUGACUGCUUCAGCAGGGGAACACAGCAUAACAACCAUACACAGGCUCUUAAAGCUCCUCACUAAAAAUUAUGCACAUCACUUCUUACAUCUGUUUAGUCAAAGUAAGUCUUGUGGCCAUACCAAACCUCAAAAGGGGCACAGAAAUACCAUCCCGACCACGUGCCCAGAAGGUGGAGAGCCAGAAAUAUUUGAUGAACUCAGUAUUGACCAUCUCAAUAGGUUUUAUGUUAAACACCCCCAAUCUUAAAAGAAAACAUUACCAACUGGGCUCCUUUGUAUUAAGAGACAAUGUUAUCUGGAAGAAAAUGUGGCUAAAGCGCCCCUGACUUAACCAGUGGUCUUUUUACCUUCCGUAAUUGAAAAGAGUUCCUAUGGCUUUGCAGGUGCAGCCAAAUUUGGGAAAGCCAUGUGAUGCUUGCUGCUCUGCCUUUCAUCUCAGGCUUUGAUAAAAAAUGUCCAUCUCCUCUCUGAAUUCACAGCUUGCCAGGCGGUCUGUUGCAGUGGAGGAUUUCUGGAAGGUCCAUAACCCCACUGAGGGAUUUGAAACUGUACUUCAGCAGUACAGCUCAAGAGUUUAUUUCCUGAAUUUAUGCACCCCUCCCCCCCAAAAAAAGCCAGACUCUUCCUUCCAUCUUUCCAAUCUUGUCUCUACCCACUUCACAUAAGCACUCAUACAUUCAUCCUAAUACACACGCCCCAUCGAAUGACUCUCUUUCGGGACCUGGUGUUGUAAUUCUACAUUUGUUCCCCCCUCCAAAGUCCUUCCCAUCAUUCAAAGAUCUACUCAAAUUUUGUCUUUUUCUAGAUCUCACACCCUGCCAAGUUCUGAUGCCAUUUGGCUUUUUUCCCCUUCUGUUUCUCAUUGUAUUUUUGUUGUUGCUGUUUUUGUUCUAUUAGGCACUUCCUGGCUUCACUGAAUUGAAUAAUUCUCUGUAUGUGUGUGUAUCAACACAACUGUGUGAAAAGAAGAGUAUCUUACUUAGCUUUGUAUAUCAAAAUGGCCCCCUCUCCUUUCCCCAGUGUCUGGCCUAGACUCUGGUCCUCAGUAAAUGUUUGUAAUAAUAUACUCUCUGUGUUGGAAUAUCUUCUUUCUGAACCUACCAACAAUUGGAAACACUUCUAGCUUUAAUCAACUUUCUUUUCUCUUCUGAUCUUAUUAUGUGUGGUCUCACUGUGAGCGUUUCAGUUAGUUCAAAUCUAAAUGCCAGAUUUACUUCCAAGAACCCUAAAUCUUAACAUUUAAAUAUGAGAUUAUAUCUUCUGGGCUCAUAUCUUGUCUGUAUCUUGUGGGGUAAAGGGCUGAAGGAAGGAGAUUGUUGAACACUCAAUAUGAGAAGAACCUUUCUGUAUUAGUUGGGGUUAUUAAUGUGAGUUGUUAUAACAAAAAACCCCCAACAUCUCAGUGGCUCAACGCAAUUUUUCAUGCACAUCACAGUCCAAGGCAGGACAUGUGGCUCCUCUCUAAGUAGUGACUUGGGACCCAAACUUCUUCCAUGUUGUAGUGGGGCCAUCACCUAGGGCCUUAUGGAUUCUCUGCAUUCAGCUGACUGACAGGCCCAGACAGCCCAUGGAAUUUGCAGGGGUUUUAUGCCCAUGCCUGGAAACAGGAGGCAUCACUUUAGCCUAUAAUUCUCUGGCUAACACCUCCACCUAGUAAUAAGGCAUGCUGGGAAAUCGAUUCCACUGUUGUACCAAGACAAAGAAGAGAGGAUUGGUAAACAUCUACCUUGUUACUUUCAAAGGGCCUACGAAGUCAUUUCUUCACUAUGCAAUAUUGAGACAUUGUUCCAACACUUUCUUGAACAGGGAGAUUUGAAUCCAUGUAAAGGGGGCAUGGGCAGCUUCCCUGUAACCAUGCUGAAUUUCUAGUCCUCUCCUUUGUCUAUAAAUCCCAGAAUUUACUCUCAAAGCCACCCCUCCCCCAAACAACAACAACAACAAAAAGAAUAAAGAGGUAGGUAGGCAGUCUCUUCCAUCAGGUUAUUCUCUUCUCUCCCUGAACCCAGGCUACAGGAAACGUUCUCAGAGAAUGUUUCUCAACCUUAACAGAGCAUCAGGGUCAAUGUGAGCUUCUGAACCAUUCCAUUGAACAUUACUCCCUCCUCCUAGAAACACUUCCUUCCCUCAGCCUCCAGGAUCCCACUCUUUCUUGACUUUCCUCCUGUCUAUCCCAUCCUAUCUCCUUUUUCUGUUUUUUCUUCUUUCCACUAGCUUUAAACAGUAGGGUGCCCCAGGGCUCAGCCCUGGAAACUUGUCUCAUCUCUGUCCAAGCUCAUUCCCUUGGUGAUUGUAUUAGUUUUCUAUUUACGGCAUAAUACGUUACCACAAACCAAGUGGCUUACAUGGACAUCCCUUGUCGACUCACAGUUCUGUAGGUCAGAAGUCAAUGCGUGGUGUGGAUGGGUCCUCUUCUCAGGGUCUCAGAAACGGAAGUCAGCGGGUCAGCUGGGCUGCGUUCUCAUCUGCAGGUUCUGGAGAAGACCUGCUUUCCAAGCUCAGUCAUGCUCAGCUUUAGAGUUCAGUUCCACAAGAUUGUAGGACUGAGGCCCCCAUUCUCCCUCUGGUUUUCAGCUGGGAACUGCCCUUGGCUCCUACAGGCUGCCUACAUUCCUUGCCAUGUGGCUCCCAUCCUCCAGCUUCAAAGCUAGAGAUGGAGACUUUCUUAUGCAUGUAAUCCCUCUUGCUUCAAAUUCCUCUCCUCUCCCAUCUCUGCCCUCUAGAGCCAGAUUCAGAGGGCUCAUGGAAUUAGGUCAGGUGCACUUGAUUAUCCCCUUUGACUAAAUCGAAGUCAGCUGAUUAGUAACAACUAUGGACUGAAUGUUGGUAUCUGCUCCCCAUUCAUAUGCUGAGCCCCUAACCCCUAGCCAGUGUGAUGGUAUUUGGAGAUGGGGCCUUUGGGAGGUAAUUAGGGCUUGAAGAGGUCAUGAGGGUGGGGCCUUCACGAUGGAUUUAGUGCCCUUGUAACAAGACAUGCCAGGGGGCUUCCUCUUUGUGCCCUCCCACCCCAUCCCUCAGCUGCUUUCUUUCUCUCGCUACCAAGCAAGGACACAGCAAGGCAGUGGCCAUCUGUAAACCAGGAAGAGACUUCUCCCUGGUAACUGACCAUGCUGGCACCCUGGUCUCAGACUUCUAUCCUUCCAGUCAGGGGGAUUUUGUUACGGCAGCCCUAGCGACCUACACAGUAACCUUAGUUAUACCUGCAAAAUCCCCUUUGCCAUAUACUGUAACGUAGUCAUAGGAGAAAAAUCUCACUAUGUUCACAGAAUCCACCCAUAGUUAAGGGGAAGAGAUUCUAAAAUCUCUGGAGAGGGUGAUAAUGUUAGAAUGGUGUUCACCUCAAUAAUCCCACUUAGUCUCAUGGCUUUAAAUAUCAUCUAUAUGCUCAUGAUUCUCAAAUUUAUUUCUCCAGUGUAGACCUGUCUCCAAACCUAGACUUUCUAUCUACCUCCUAGACGUUUCCACUUGGAUGUUUUCCAGGCGCCUCAAACUUCACAUAGAUGCCGCCAAAUUCUCCAUCUUCCCACGCAGACCUGCUCCUCACGUAAUCUUUCGACCUCAGCCAUCAGGAAGUCCUCUGGAGUCUAGCUUCAAGGGCCCACGCCGUCAUAAUCUCUCACGUGAAUUACUGCAACAAUCCCUGUUCCAGUUUCUAUUGCUGCCUAAACAAAUCACUGCAGAUGUAACAACUUCAAACAACACCAACUUCUUAUCUUGCAAAUGUGAAGUGCCCAGAACAGUGUCAGACGCGCAGAAGCACCCAGGAAAUGUUUGUCAGAUGAUCGAAUCCAUGAGUAUGAAAUGGAGAUCCUGGCCUGCCCUACAUGGAGGAGAUGUUGGGUUGGGACCAGCAGAAAGGAGUUGGACCUUCCGUCCCAUGGAGUGCCCUCUACUCGUCGGACAAAACUUGCCCUGGAUUACUAAACUCAAAUUAAAUAUCGCUGUUUAAUGACUGAAACAAUCGUGAGCCUUUUGGACUCAUCCCCAGCCCCUGCCCUGUGGCCUUUCCCAAACUCGCCGUCUUCUAAUCGAUACAUCCUCCAAGAGUCUCCUCACUGACACCAAGCCCUGGACCUACCCGGUGAGAGACUUGUAGCUACCGCCUUGGAAAUGAUUAUUAACACACUGCAAGUAAGAGAUCUUCUCCACUGGAGGAGCAAUUCUAAAAAUA